CUGGCCUCAAAUCAGGUAGGGCUACCCGCUGAACUUAAGCAUAUCAAUAAGCGGAGGAAAAGAAACUAACUAGGAUUCCCUUAGUAACGGCGAGUGAACCGGGAUGAGCUCAAAUUUGAAAUCUGGCGUCUUUCAGGCGUCCGAGUUGUAAUCUAUAGAGGCGUUUUCCGCGCCGGACCGCGUCCAAGUCUCUUGGAAUAGAGUAUCAAAGAGGGUGACAAUCCCGUACUUGACGCGACAACCGGUGCUCUGUGAUACGUUCUCAACGAGUCGAGUUGUUUGGGAAUGCAGCUCUAAAUGGGUGGUAAAUUCCAUCUAAGGCUAAAUAUUGGCGAGAGACCGAUAGCGAACAAGUACCGUGAGGGAAAGAUGAAAAGCACUUUGGAAAGAGAGUUAAACAGCACGUGAAAUUGUUAAAAGGGAAACGAUUGAAGUCAGUCGUGUGAAAGGUAUUCAGCCGUCUCUGGCGGUGUAUUUGCCUUUCACGGGUCAACAUCAGUUUAGUCCGGUAGAAAAAGGCUGGAGGAAGGUGGCACCCUCGGGUGUGUUAUAGCCUCCUGUCAUAUGUGCCGGAUUAGACUGAGGAACGCAGCUUGCAGCAAUGCCGGGGUUCGCCCACGUACAAGCUUAGGAUGUUGACAUAAUGGCUUUAAACGACCCGUCUUGAAACACGGACCAAGGAGUCUAACAUAUCUGCGAGUGUUUGGGUGUCAAACCCAAGCGCGAAAUGAAAGUGAACGUAGGAGGGAUCCGCAAGGAGCACCUUCGACCGAUCCGGAAGUAUUCUGAUGGAUUUGAGUAAGAGCAUAUAUGCUGGGACCCGAAAGAUGGUGAACUAUGCCUGAAUAGGGCGAAGCCAGGGGAAACUCUGGUGGAGGCUCGUAGCGAUUCUGACGUGCAAAUCGAUCGUCAAAUUUGGGUAUAGGGGCGAAAG
rnacentral:rRNA from 1 species